rnacentral:rRNA from 1 species
GACGAACGCUGGCGGCGUGCCUAAUAUAUGCAAGUCGAACGCUGAAGCUUGGUGCUUGCACCGAGCGGCUGAGUUGCGAACGGGUGAGUAACGCGUAGGUAACCUGCCUGGUAGCGGGGGAUAACUAUUGGAAACGAUAGCUAAUACCGCAUAAGAGUAGAUGUUGCAUGACAUUUGCUUAAAAGGUGCAAUUGCAUCACUACCAGAUGGACCUGCGUUGUAUUAGCUAGUUGGUGAGGUAACGGCUCACCAAGGCAACGAUACAUAGCCGACCUGAGAGGGUGAUCGGCCACACUGGGACUGAGACACGGCCCAGACUCCUACGGGAGGCAGCAGUAGGGAAUCUUCGGCAAUGGACGGAAGUCUGACCGAGCAACGCCGCGUGAGUGAAGAAGGUUUUCGGAUCGUAAAGCUCGGUUGUAAGAGAAGAACGAGUGUGAGAGUGGAAAGUUCACACUGUGACGGUAGCUUACCAGAAAGGGACGGCUAACUACGUG